UACGUAGGGUGCAAGCGUUAAUCGGAAUUACUGGGCGUAAAGCGAGCGCAGGCGGUUAUGUAAGACAGCUGUGAAAUCCCAGGGCUUAACCUUGGAACUGCAUUUGUGACUGCAUGGCUAGAGUGUGGCAGAGGGGGGUGGAACUCCACGUGUAGCAGUGAAAUGCGUAGAGAUGUGGAGGAACACCGAUGGCGAAGGCAGCCCCCUGGGAUAACACUGACGCUCAGGCUCGAAAGCGUGGGGAGCAAACAGG
rnacentral:rRNA from 1 species